rnacentral:rRNA from 1 species
GUUGUAUGGUUAAGUGACGAAGCGUAUACGGUGGAUGCCUUGGCAGUUAGAGGCGAUGAAGGACGUGUAAGUCUGCGAAAAGCUGUGGUGAGCCGACAAAAUGCAUUUGAGCCACAGAUGUCCGAAUGGGGAAACCCACCUAUUUAUAGGUAUCGUUAACUGAAUACAUAGGUUAACGAGGCAAACGAGGGGAACUGAAACAUCUAAGUACCCUUAGGAAAAGAAAUCAACCGAGAUUCCCCUAGUAGCGGCGAGCGAACGGGGAGCAGCCCUUAAGCUGUUUAGAAUUUAGUGGAAUCCUUUGGGAAGAGGAGCGAUACAGGGUGAUAGCCCCGUACACGACGGAUUCUUUACAGUGAAAUCGAGUAGGUCGGGACACGUGUUAUCUUGACUGAAUAUGGGGGGACCAUCCUCCAAGGCUAAAUACUCCUAACUGACCGAUAGUGAACCAGUACCGUGAGGGAAAGGCGAAAAGAACCCCUGUGAGGGGAGUGAAAUAGAACCUGAAACCGUAUACGUACAAGCAGUGGGAGCCCUUCGGGGUGACUGCGUACCUUUUGUAUAAUGGGUCAGCGACUUAUAUUUAGUAGCAAGGUUAAGUGAAUAACGGAGCCGUAGCGAAAGCGAGUGUUAACUGCGCGUUUAGUUGCUAGGUAUAGACCCGAAACCCGGUGAUCUAGCCAUGGGCAGGUUGAAGGUUGAGUAACAUCAACUGGAGGACCGAACCCACUAACGUUGAAAAGUUAGGGGAUGACCUGUGGCUGGGGGUGAAAGGCCAAUCAAACCGGGAGAUAGCUGGUUCUCCCCGAAAUCUAUUUAGGUAGAGCCUCGGACGAAUUCCAUUGGGGGUAGAGCACUGUUAAGGCUAGGGGGUCAUCCCGACUUACCAACCCUUUGCAAACUCCGAAUACCAAUGAGAACUAUCCGGGAGACACACGGCGGGUGCUAACGUCCGUCGUGGAGAGGGAAACAACCCAGACCGCCAGCUAAGGUCCCAAAAUAUUGCUAAGUGGGAAACGAUGUGGGAAGGCAUAGACAGCUAGGAGGUUGGCUUAGAAGCAGCCACCCUUUAAAGAAAGCGUAAUAGCUCACUAGUCGAGUCGGCCUGCGCGGAAGAUGUAACGGGGCUAAGCAAUAUACCGAAGCUGCGGCAGCAUGUUUACAUGCUGGGUAGGGGAGCGUUGUGUAAGUGGAUGAAGGUGAGUUGUAAAGCUUGCUGGACAUAUCACAAGUGCGAAUGCUGACAUGAGUAACGAUAAUGGGAGUGAAAAACUCCCACGCCGGAAGACCAAGGUUUCCUGUCCCAUGCUAAUCAGGGCAGGGUAAGUCGGCCCCUAAGGCGAGGCAGAAAUGCGUAGUCGAUGGGAAACGGGUUAAUAUUCCCGUACUUAUAUAAUCAGUGAUGGAGGGACGGAGAAGGCUAGGCAAGCUUGGCGUUGGUUGUCCAAGUGAAAG